rnacentral:rRNA from 1 species
UACGUAGGGGGCGAGCGUUGUCCGGAAUGACUGGGCGUAAAGGGUGCGUAGGCGGCCAGGUAAGUCAGAUGUGAAAGGCAUAGGCUCAACCUAUGUAAGCAUUUGAAACUGUCUGGCUUGAGUCGAGGAGAGGAAAGUGGAAUUCCUGGUGUAGCGGUGAAAUGCGUAGAUAUCAGGAGGAAUACCAGUGGCGAAGGCGACUUUCUGGACUUGGACUGACGCUGAGGCACGAAAGCGUGGGGAGCAAACAGG